rnacentral:rRNA from 1 species
GAUGAACGCUGGCGGCGUGCCUAACACAUGCAAGUCGAGCGAAGCGAUUUAACGGAAGUUUUCGGAUGGAAGUUAAAUUGACUGAGCGGCGGACGGGUGAGUAACGCGUGGGUAACCUGCCUCAUACAGGGGGAUAACAGUUAGAAAUGACUGCUAAUACCGCAUAAGCGCACAGCAUCGCAUGAUGCAGUGUGAAAAACUCCGGUGGUAUGAGAUGGACCCGCGUCUGAUUAGCUAGUUGGUGGGGUAACGGCCUACCAAGGCGACGAUCAGUAGCCGACCUGAGAGGGUGACCGGCCACAUUGGGACUGAGACACGGCCCAA